rnacentral:rRNA from 1 species
AUCCUGGCUCAGGACGAACGCUGGCGGCGUGCCUAAUACAUGCAAGUCGAGCGGACCGACGGGAGCUUGCUCCCUUAGGUCAGCGGCGGACGGGUGAGUAACACGUGGGUAACCUGCCUGUAAGACUGGGAUAACUCCGGGAAACCGGGGCUAAUACCGGAUGCUUGAUUGAACCGCAUGGUUCAAUCAUAAAAGGUGGCUUUCAGCUACCACUUACAGAUGGACCCGCGGCGCAUUAGCUAGUUGGUGAGGUAACGGCUCACCAAGGCGACGAUGCGUAGCCGACCUGAGAGGGUGAUCGGCCACACUGGGACUGAGACACGGCCCAGACUCCUACGGGAGGCAGCAGUAGGGAAUCUUCCGCAAUGGACGAAAGUCUGACGGAGCAACGCCGCGUGAGUGAUGAAGGUUUUCGGAUCGUAAAACUCUGUUGUUAGGGAAGAACAAGUACCGUUCGAAUAGGCGGUACCUUGACG